rnacentral:rRNA from 1 species
UACGUAGGGUGCGAGCGUUGUCCGGAAUCACUGGGCGUAAAGGGCUCGUAGGUGGCGCGGGCAGUCAACGGUGAAAGUUCGGGGCUCAACCCUGAAUCGGCCGUCGAUACUCCCGGGCUUGAGCACUGUAGAGGCAGAUGGAAUUCCGGGUGUAGCGGUGGAAUGCGUAGAGAUCCGGAAGAACACCGGUGGCGAAGGCGGUCUGCUGGGCAGUAGCUGACACUGAGGCGCGACAGCGUGGGGAGCAAACAGG